rnacentral:rRNA from 1 species
UUAAGCUGGGCGGCGUGAUUAACACAUGCAAGUCGAACGAUGAAGGAGGAGCUUGCUCCUCCGGAUUAGUGGCGAACGGGUGAGUAACACGUGAGCAAUCUGCCCCUGACUCUGGGAUAAGCGUUGGAAACGACGUCUAAUACCGGAUACGAGCUGAGAAGGCAUCUUCAGCAGCUGGAAAGAACUUCGGUCAGGGAUGAGCUCGCGGCCUAUCAGGUAGUUGGUGAGGUAACGGCUCACCAAGCCUACGACGGGUAGCCGGCCUGAGAGGGUGACCGGCCACACUGGGACUGAGACACGGCCCAGACUCCUACGGGAGGCAGCAGUGGGGAAUAUUGCACAAUGGGCGAAAGCCUGAUGCAGCAACGCCGCGUGAGGGACGAAGGCCUUCGGGUCSUAAACCUCUUUUAGCAGGGAAGAAGCGAAAGUGACGGUACCUGCAGAAAAAGCACCGGCUAACUACGUGCCAGCAGCCGCGGUAAUACGUAGGGUGCGAGCGUUAUCCGGAAUUAUUGGGCGUAAAGAGCUCGUAGGCGGUCUGUCGCGUCUGCUGUGAAAUCCCGAGGCUCAACCUCGGGCUUGCAGUGGGUACGGGCAGACUAGAGUGCGGUAGGGGAGAUUGGAUUCCUGUGUAGCGGUGGAAUGCGCAGAUAUCAGGAGGAACACCGAUGGCGAAGGCAGAUCUCUGGGCCGUUACUGACGCUGAGGAGCGAAAGCGUGGGGAGCAAACAGGCUUAGAUACCCUGGUAGUCCACGCCGUAAACGUUGGGAACUAGAUGUGGGGACCAUUCCACGGUCUCCGUGUCGUAGCUAACGCAUUAAGUU